GUGUCAGCAGCCGCGGUAAUACAGAGGUCUCAAGCGUUGUUCGGAUUCAUUGGGCGUAAAGGGUGCGUAGGUGGCGCCAUAAGUCAGGUGUGAAAUCUCGGGGCUUAACUCCGAAACUGCAUUUGAUACUGUGGUGCUUGAGGACUGGAGAGGAGACUGGAAUUCACGGUGUAGCAGUGAAAUGCGUAGAUAUCGUGAGGAAGACCAGUGGCGAAGGCGGGUCUCUGGACAGUUCCUGACACUGAGGCACGAAGGCCAGGGGAGCAAACGGGAUUAGAUACCCCGGUAGUCC
rnacentral:rRNA from 1 species